AGGGACUGCACUACCUGCUUGGAACUCCAGAGAGGACACAGACAGCUAGUGACGGUUCAACAAGGAGACCUGCAGAGGUGGUUCGCAGGCAUUUAUACAAACCCUGUAGCAGCCUCUCACCCAUGAUUGUCCUUGUGCCGCUGCCAGUGUCAAAGAAUCCUGCACUGUGUGAGCACGAUCAUGCCUACUACAGCCGCCGUGGCUCCAGAGGAUUGAAACGUCUGAUAAGCCUCAGAUGGAAUCGCUGCCAGAAGGACUGAGAGGUGGGAAGGAAGCCGGGCUCUGUCUCACUGCCUCUGGAGACAGGUCAGAAGGCCACUUCCAAGCUGACAAAACGACACAGGUCGCAUGUGACCAAAUGCACGCGAAGCGGCUCUCAGGAGGCCUGGAGAGGAGCAUGUGACUUGAAGCACCACAACAUCCCUUCAGACUUGAGACCCAGAGGUGCCCUUGACCAGCCAGUCAUUGAGGUACGGGUAGAUCAGGAUACCCCGGCGCCUGAGGGCUGGUCCUGACGAGGCUGGCUCCCCGGCCCUGAGGCUGCUGCGGUUUGAGCCAGUCAGGGAACCUUGCUCGGUGCCAGAGCUAUAAGUGGAGCGGGUAGUACCGGGCGACCAGGAUCCGGUGGAGCAGUGGCUUUCGUCUGACUGGUGCCAGUCACUGCAUCCUGGAGCUGACCUGUCCGAGUGGGACGGGCGUCUUGAUUGGGGUCUCAGGACUGACGUUUGGCAGAUCUGCAUCGGACACCCGGCGAUCCACGCCUCGCGCUACUCGACUGGUACCGGGACGUCGAAUGAGACUGGGAGCUACUAUGGGCCGGUUGCCGAGAGGAUCUUCCUGAGUAGGGCGACCUACUUCUGGGAGACGAGCAAUGACACUUCAGAGAUCGGUAGUCUGUGGUCCACGGUCUGUCUCGUGAUCGGUACUGGGCCCUUGGCGACGGUCAGGGCCAGUCCUGGAGUUUUUGCUGGGUGGCGUGUGCCUCAGAGGUACGCCUCGAGUCCCUCGAUCAGUGCCCCGUGUGGGGAUGGAAGAGGGCUGCACUAGGCCUGCCUCUCUAGUCCUGAGGUGUGACGGCUUCGGGUGGGCCAGCGAUGGCGGGAUGUCCCUCCCAAUGGGGAAUGGCAGUGCUGAGGUGAAAACACACACAUAGGUCCCAAUGCAGGUUUUCCCCGAGACCGGAGUUGCAGGUGAAGUGCGGGAUGGGCUGCACCAUUCGACUUGAGGUGAGGCCCAACUUC